rnacentral:rRNA from 1 species
GACGAACGCUGGCGGCGUGCUUAACACAUGCAAGUCGAACGGAAAGGCCCUGCUUUUGUGGGGUGCUCGAGUGGCGAACGGGUGAGUAACACGUGAGUAACCUGCCCUUGACUUUGGGAUAACUUCAGGAAACUGGGGCUAAUACCGGAUAGGAGCUCCUGCUGCAUGGUGGGGGUUGGAAAGUUUCGGCGGUUGGGGAUGGACUCGCGGCUUAUCAGCUUGUUGGUGGGGUAGUGGCUUACCAAGGCUUUGACGGGUAGCCGGCCUGAGAGGGUGACCGGCCACAUUGGGACUGAGAUACGGCCCAGACUCCUACGGGGGGCAGCGGUGGGGAAUAUUGCACAAUGGGCGGAAGCCUGAUGCAGCAACGCCGCGUGCGGGAUGACGGCCUUCGGGUUGUAAACCGCUUUCGCCUGUGACGAAGCGUGAGUGACGGUAAUGGGUAAAGAAGCACCGGCUAACUACGUG